UGAAAUCUACCAAUUAUUAAGAUUGUUAGAUAAUAGGACUCUUCAUUAGACGCUACAAUGAUCACAAUGUUUCUCAUUCUCUAGUAAUUCCCAUUGUACAUGACUGACGAACAAUUAGUUCUUUUAAACAACAGAAUAUGCUAUUGUUUUUGAUAUCAAGGAAAUGCCAUUUUUCAGUAUGACACAUGUUUUUGCACAUAUGCAUCUGUUCUAAUAUCAUUACCAAGCCCUAUCCAGGUUAUUGCUAAAUUCAACUUGCCAAAGCCGGCACCAUGGAGAGAUUCUGGAUUCGAGAGGCAGGUUGCCAUAAAAUUUACAUUUCCCAUAAAAUAUAAGUAGCCACCAUUUUCUAUAAUCCCACAGCAGCGACGAAAUGGUGGCACAGAAGAAAACGACCCUAUCAGACACAUUUCAUCAUUCCUUCUAUCCAUAGCUAUCUUCUUCCUCCAGCAUUAUUAUCCUAUAUCUUUUUCUCUCCCCCUUCUGCACAACACAGUAGCAAUAUGCUAAUUUUAUAUUUCUUUUUUAUUAUUUUUUUACGAAAAAAUAGAUUGUUUACUGAGCCAAAAAAUGGUUAGUGCCGGUUAGGCCACUCAGGUAUCUCCCGGCAAAUGUUUUUUGAUUUAAAGAAAAGGCUACUAAAAGUGCAGCGUGGUGCUUCUGGCACACACUGAUGACUGUAUGUCUUGGAGAAGGCACAAUAGAAAAGCUGUAUCCCAGAGGUAGAGGACAUAAGCAUGGAGCAGGGAUGCAGCAUUGGUUGGUCUGGGAUCUUUCUUGGUUCAGAAGAAAGAAGAGUUAAAACAGAGACUGAAAGGAAAUCUUCCUCUGAUUCUUAAAUAAACAUCAAGGGAAAAUUUGUAGAAAGAUAAUGCUAAAAUCA